rnacentral:rRNA from 1 species
UACAGAGGUCUCAACCGUUGUUCGGAUUUAUUGGGCGUAAAGGGUGCGUAGGCGGCGGGGUAAGUCAGGUGUGAAAUCUCGGGGCUCAACCCCGAAACUGCACUUGAUACUGCCUUGCUCGAGUACUGGAGAGGAGACUGGAAUUUACGGUGUAGCAGUGAAAUGCGUAGAUAUCGAUAAGGAAGACCAGUGGCGAAGGCG